rnacentral:rRNA from 1 species
AUUGAACGCUGGCGGCAUGCCUUACACAUGCAAGUCGAACGGCAGCACGGGUGCUUGCACCUGGUGGCGAGCGGCGAACGGGUGAGUAAUACAUCGGAAUGUACCUUGUAGUGGGGGAUAGCUCGGCGAAAGCCGGAUUAAUACCGCAUACGCUCUGAGGAGGAAAGCGGGGGACCUUCGGGCCUCGCGCUACAAGAGCAGCCGAUGUCAGAUUAGCUAGUUGGUGGGGUAAAAGCUCACCAAGGCGACGAUCUGUAGCUGGUCUGAGAGGACGACCAGCCACACUGGGACUGAGACACGGCCCAGACUCCUACGGGAGGCAGCAGUGGGGAAUUUUGGACAAUGGGCGAAAGCCUGAUCCAGCAAUGCCGCGUGUGUGAAGAAGGCCUUCGGGUUGUAAAGCACUUUUGUCCGGAAAGAAAUCCUUUGGGUUAAUACCUCGGGGGGAUGACGGUACCGGAAGAAUAAGCACCGGCUAACUACGUGCCAGCAGCCGCGGUAAUACGUAGGGUGCAAGCGUUAAUCGGAAUUACUGGGCGUAAAGCGUGCGCAGGCGGUUUUGUAAGACGGAUGUGAAAUCCCCGGGCUUAACCUGGGAACUGCAUUCGUGACUGCAAGGCUAGAGUAUGGCAGAGGGGGGUAGAAUUCCACGUGUAGCAGUGAAAUGCGUAGAGAUGUGGAGGAAUACCGAUGGCGAAGGCAGCCCCCUGGGCCAAUACUGACGCUCAUGCACGAAAGCGUGGGGAGCAAACAGG